AUGCUCUUGCAAGCUCAGGCAGUCUACCAUCUCUUAAGUGUUCAGAAGUAUGUCAUGGAUGAAUGCAGGAAAUGGAAUCUUGUCUGGAUUGGAAAGAACAAGGUUGCGCCUUUGGAGCCCCAUGAGAUGGAGUAUCUACUUGGUUUCCCAAGAGACCACACGAGGGGAGUCUGCAAGAUGGAGAGGUACAAAGCUCUUGGGAACUCAUUUCAAGUGGAUACAGUUGCUUAUCACCUGUCAGUGUUGAUGGACAUGUUUCCUGAUGGUAUAAAUGUGCUGUCCUUAUUCACCGGUAUUGGGGGAGGAGAAGUAGCCCUGCACAAGCUUGGGGUCCACAUGAAGACAGUGGUUUCUGUUGAGAUUUCUGAAGUGAACAGGAGGAUUUUCAGAGGUUGGUGGAAUCAGAAUCAAACGGGUGGCAGUCUGAUUGAGAUUCCAGGCAUGGAGACUCUCACUAAUGAUACAAUCGAGUCAUUGACUAGAAGAUUGGGUGGUUUUGACUUGAUAAUUGGAGGCAGCCCAUGCAACAAUCUUACCGGCAGCAACCGGCACCACCGUGAUGGUUUACAGGGCGAGCAAUCUGCUCUGUUCUACGAGUACUCGAGAAUACUGAAUGUUGUCAAGUCCGUUAUGGCGAGGAUGUAG
rnacentral:rRNA from 1 species